UGACACUUGGUUAUAUGUACAUGGGUAGGU
rnacentral:piRNA from 1 species